rnacentral:lncRNA from 1 species
AAAAAAAAAAACUGUGGACAUGUAUAAAGACGUUCAUGGUCAAUACUAGUGAAGUGGCUAAAUAAUACUUCAAUUGGCAACAAUAUUUUCAUAUGAUAAAAUUUAAUACAGGCUGGGCACCAUGGCUCACACCUGUAAUCCCAGCACUUUGGGAGGCUGAGGCAGGAGAAUCUCUUGAACCUGAGAGGCAGAGGUUGCAGUGAGCCUAGAUCACACAAUUUUACUCCAGCCUGGGCAACAAGAGCGAAACUCCACCUCAAAAAAAAAAAAAAAAAGUAAUGCCAUAAUUUAAAAUAAUAUUUACAAAGAUUCUAAUGACAUGGGA